CGAACGCUGGCGGUAUGCUUAACACAUGCAAGUCGAACGAGAAAGUCACUUCGGUGGCGAGUAGAGUGGCGCACGGGUGAGUAACGCGUAGGUGACCUACCUCUUAGCGGGGGAUAACCAUGAGAAAUUAUGGCUAAUACCGCAUACGUACUGCAAUUUUGGAAGUAGCAGUAGAAAGGAUGCCUCUCCUUGGAAGCAUUCACUAAGAGAUGGGCCUGCGUAGCAUUAGCUGGUUGGUGGGGUAACGGCCUACCAAGGCAACGAUGCUUAGCUGGUCUGAGAGGAUGAUCAGCCACACUGGAACUGAGACACGGUCCAGACUCCUACGGGAGGCAGCAGUGGGGAAUAUUGCGCAAUGGACGAAAGUCUGACGCAGCAAUACCGCGUGAGUGAGGAAGGCCUUCGGGUUGUAAAGCUCUGUCAGAUGGGAAGAACGGUAACGGGUCCAAUAGGCCUGUUAAGUGACGGUACCAUCAAAGGAAGCACCGGCUAACUUC
rnacentral:rRNA from 1 species